GCAUUCGUGGUGUAACGGUAGCACACACGGCGCGUAAACGAGAGAGAGUCCCAGGUUCGAAUCCCGGCGAGGGCA
rnacentral:tRNA from 1 species